rnacentral:rRNA from 1 species
UAGGUAGAAUUAUGAUAAUGACAUUGUCUGCCUAUGGUGUCUUGACCAAAUUACGUGCCAGCAGUCGCGGUAAUACGUAGAAGACUAGUGUUAUUCAUGUUUAAUCGGUUUAAAGGGUACCUAGACGGUGAAUCAAGCUUUAGAAUAAAGAAGAAAAGGAACUAAUUCGCUAGAGUUACUUACGAGGGGGUAGUAAAGUACUGCUGGUGUAGAGAUGAAAUUCUGUCAUACCUCUUUUCGAAAGAAAAAUUAUGGCACAGGUAUAGGCGAAGGCAUCCCCUUAUGUGAUAACUGACGUUGAGGGACGAAGGCUUCGUGGAACAAACAGGAUUAGAUACCCUAGUAGUUGAAGCAGAAAAUGAUGAAUGUCAUAGAUUAGACGUCUAAGUUUAUUCUAUAAAUGAAAGUGUAAGCAUUCCACCUCAUGAGUAAUUUGGCAACAUUGGAAUUGAAAUCAUUAGACCGUUUCUGAAACCAGUAGUGAAGUAUGUUGUUUAAUUUGAUAAUACGCAAAAAACCUUACCACAAUUUGAAUAUUUAUAUUGUUUAUUGUUAUCUUAUUAAUUUUCUUAAAAAAACUAAUUAUAGCAAAAGCAUUUUAAAACAGGAAAAGAAAAUUAAUCAAGAGGCAAUAACAUAUAUCUACUAGCGUUGCACGGCUGUCUUCAGUUAAUGUCGGGAGACUUUGGUUAGUUCCCUUCAAUUAACGUAAUCCCUUACUUUAUUUUUUAUAAGAGUAGUUCCCCGCGAUAUGGAUAGAAAC